UCUACCAUUGACCUUUUCCUUUCCAAAAAAUCUAGACUAGUGGUCACAUGUAAUUAUCUCACCCAUAUCCUCAUCAUCAACGCCUUAUCCCAACUAAUUGGGAAUAUGUGAUUACCUCAGGACAAUAAAACAUAGAGCUCAUCAUCUCUUACGUAAGCGAGCAUACUUCCAUCUGGAGAGAGAUGGGGAUCAAUAAUUGGCGAACCUGCUGAGCUUUGCAGCUUAAGUUCUGGUUUAGAACAGGAGACAUCCUUAAAAUAGAUCUA